UACGUAGGGUGCAAGCGUUGUCCGGAAUUAUUGGGCGUAAAGAGCUCGUAGGCGGUUUGUCGCGUCUGCUGUGAAAACUCGGGGCUUAACUCCGGGCCUGCAGUGGGUACGGGCAGACUAGAGUGCGGUAGGGGAGACUGGAAUUCCAGGUGUAGCGGUGAAAUGCGUAGAUAUCUGGAGGAACACCGGUGGCGAAGGCGGCAUCCUGGACCAAUACUGACGCUGAGGAGCGAAAGCCAGGGGAGCAAACGGG
rnacentral:rRNA from 1 species